CAGCAGCCGCCGCGGUAAUACGUAGGGUGCGAGCGUUAAUCGGAAUUACUGGGCGUAAAGCGUGCGCAGGCGGUUGUGUAAGACAGGUGUGAAAUCCCCGGGCUUAACCUGGGAACUGCGCUUGUGACUGCACAGCUAGAGUAUGGCAGAGGGGGGUGGAAUUCCACGUGUAGCAGUGAAAUGCGUAGAGAUGUGGAGGAACACCGAUGGCGAAGGCAGCCCCCUGGGCCAAUACUGACGCCCAUGCACGAAAGCGUGGGGAGCAAACAGGAUUAGAUACCCCAGUAGUCCCUGUCUCUUAUAC
rnacentral:rRNA from 1 species